rnacentral:rRNA from 16 species
ACAAGUGGUAGGGGAGCAUUCUGUACAGCGUUGAAGAUAUACUGUGAGGUAUGUUGGAGCGUAUAGAAAAGAAAAUGUAGGCAUGAGUAACGAUAAGAGGGGUGAGAGACCCCUCCGCCGUAAGACUAAGGGUUCCUCGAUCUAUGCUAAUCAGAUCAGGGUUAGUCGGGACCUAAGGAGUAUCCGAAAGGAGAAUUCGAU